AUACGGAGGAUCCGAGCGUUAUCCGGAUUUAUUGGGUUUAAAGGGUGCGCAGGCGGCCAUUUAAGUCAGCGGUUAAAUCGUGGGGCUCAACCCCAUUCUGCCGUUGAUACUGGGUGGCUUGAUUGCGGUCGAGGUUGGCGGAAUUCGUUGCGUAGCGGUGAAAUGCAUAGAUAUGACGAAGAACACCGAUUGCGUAGGCAGCUGACCAGACCGCAAAUGACGCUCAUGCACGAAAGUGCGGGGAUCGAACAGGAUUAGAUACCCUGGUAGUCCGCACAGUAAACGAUGAAUACUUGUUUUCGGCGAUAUAAUGUCGGAGGCAAAGCGAAAGCGAUAAGUAUUCCACCUGGGGAGUACGCCGGCAACGGUGAAACUUAAAGGAAUUGACGGGG
rnacentral:rRNA from 1 species